GUUCCUGUGGUGUUAUCUGAAGCACAUUAGAUUUUCAUUCUAAAGGUAUAAAUUUAUUUAUCAGGAAUAC
rnacentral:tRNA from 1 species